rnacentral:rRNA from 1 species
CCUACGGGAGGCAGCAGUGAGGAAUAUUGGUCAAUGGGCGCGAGCCUGAACCAGCCAAGUCGCGUGAGGGAUGAAGGUUCUAUGGAUCGUAAACCCCUUUUAUAAGGGAAUAAAGUGUGGGACGUGUCCUAUUUUGUAUGUACCUUAUGAAUAAGGAUCGGCUAACGCCGUGCCAGCAGCCGCGGUAAUAAGGAGGAUCCGAGCGUGAUCCGGAUUUAUUGGGUUUAAAGGGUGCGUAGGCGGCCUUUUAAGUCAGCGGUGAAAGUCUGUGGCUCAACCAUAGAAUUGCCGUUGCAACUGGGGGGCUUGAGUAUGUUUGAGGCAGGCGGAAUGCGUGGUGUCGCGGUGAAAAGCUUAGAUAUCACGCAGAACCACGAUUGCGAAGGCAGCCUGCCAAGCCAUGACUGACGCUGAUGCACGAAAGCGUGGGGAUCAAACAGGAUUAGAUACCCUAGUAGUC